ensembl:lncRNA
ACCAAAGUGACUUCAAUGAAGUAAUUUUUUUUUUAAAAAAAAAAAGAAAGGAUGGAAAAUGAAGGUGUAACGAUGCAUCAAUGACGUCCAUCAUGGUUUUCCCAGCACGGAUUGUGGUUUUUGUUGUCUAAAGUCUGAUUGUGUGCUCUCAGAUUCUGUGACUCCUGCCCUGACAAACGCUGAGCUGGGAGUGCUGUGCCAACAGUGCCAUUAUUCUCCAAAGAAUGAGUGGUGUCUGGCUGGAAACAUCUUAGAACUUGCUGAACGAGAAAAACAAGUUUCAGCCUCUUUUUCGAAUUCAAUGGAUGUGACCAGAAGAAUGAAACAUAAAAUACGUAACUGGAAACAAUUUGGAGGACGAGCUGGAUGGAGAGAGAGAUCGAGUGUAUUUCCGAAUGAGGAAUCAAGAUUCUGCUGAAUGUUAAUUGCCCAAUGGAUGCGUGCCUACUUGCAGAGAAUUUCAGAAAGGAUCGUCCAGAACUAAAAAGAGAAAAUGAGGAAGUGACUUCCGUGGUCCAUUUGACCCCAGGGGCCCACCUGGGGAAGCUGGAAAACGUCGUUUCACAGCCAUUUUAGCAGCUCCUACAAGGCUGAGACUCGCCUCUUUGAAGAAUCCAGCAAACCUCCUCCCAAACUUAUUUCUGCAAAGCUCCUGGAAAAGAAGGCGGUUUCAAGCAUUCACGGUGGUAUAAAUUAGGGUCUCCUGGUAGACAAACUAAAAGCCACUUUCUGUGUGUCCAGAUUCUUGGAAUGACGCUCCCAGGAGUGCAACCCAAGGAAACAUUUUAAACGACAGAAGAAACAGACAAGCUGACUCCACCCUCCCAACCCAUUAAUCAAGCUGUGAUCUUUUCAGCCAGGAAACAAGUUUCAACGGCUCUCAACCAAGCUCGCCUCUUUACCUGCAGAGAAUAAGUAGCUUCUCCAACUUGGCGCAAACUCCUCUUUUCAUCCCCACUGUUGAUGAUUCAUUACAGAACGGUUGCCCGGGUGCAAAAAAGGAGACUUCACAAUUUAUGCAUUAGUUCAUCAAGAAAUGCUUUUAGGGGAAGCACGAUCUGCCAGGCACAGCGCUUGGUGUUAGCUGUACAAAGGAGACCGGAAUGGAUUUCUUGACUUUCUUGAGCUCCCACCUCAGAAGGAAAGAUGGGCAGACGGAUGAGCAGACGGUGAUGGCACCUGGUACAGGUUGUGUUGGGCAGGUGACUUGAGUGACUUGGGUGUAAGGGGAUCAGAGCAGACUUUCUGGAUGCCGGUCACCUAACUGAGCCCUGGGAGAUGAUUGGCAGGUGGCCGGACAACCUGGAGGGAAGAAGGAAGGGGUGGGCUCUGGGUUGUGAGCAGGGCGAUGGCAGGUGCCCAGGCUCAGAGCCAUGAGAGAGGAGACAUCGGAGGAAUAGAAAGUAGGAGGCGGGGGCAGAGAAGGAGGGAUGUAGAAAUGACGGUGUGGGCACGAACAAGGACCACGCAAGUGAGGACAGCCGUAGGCUAUUUGGUUGAGAGCUUGCUCAAGCAAGGGAGGCAGCCGCCGUCACUUGCACUUGGCAGAGACUCAAGACAGGCAGAGGAGUGGAUAAAAGGGAAGUUCUGGCGUGCCCUGAUUGCUAAAAUUGAUGCUGUUGGCAUUGAGAAGAAGCUAGAGGUGGCUAGCCAGAAGCAGGGCAUCCUACAGGAUUGGUUAGGGGUGCAUUUUUGCCCUUCUCUGGUUGGUCCUGAUUUGGAAAGGGGGGUAAAAAUUAGGGAUGUUGGCAGUUAUUGAUCAAGUUCUGGCCAUUUGGGGCCAAUUGCCACAAGGGAUGUUGGGCAGGUUGCUGUAGGUUGUAGGUUUUUAUAGACGGUCCAGCCAUUGUCUUGUCUGCAUGCUCAGUCUCUCCAAGGUGCAGAUCUGGGAUCGUUUUUUGGGAACAGUGGUCAUUUAAGGGAGCUCAGGGAAUUUUGAUUCUAUGAUUUGUUGACUCAUUCUCUCUCUUGCAUCCUUUCCAAAUUUCUGUGUUGGAGGAAAUCAGCUAGGUCUGCGAUGACCGUUCUGCCUCCAGGGCGUGGCUCCAUCUUCAAGUGCACCAGAAAGAGGCUCCCGGGAAGUGGUCCCAAUCUGUUCGGAGGAGGCAAGCUGCCUCUUGGUGACCUUCGGACAUGUUGUCGUGGAGUAUGAUGCGGGAGAGAAAGGAACUGCCCUGGUGCCUUGUUGUGCUCAGUUACUCUCUACACACUCGCUCAGGUUGGAGUAGCGUCUCAUGAAACUUUAGAGACGCGUCUCCCCAAAGACUGCAACUCCCUUAGCAAGUAUCAUUUUUAAUGCAAACCAUCUGCUCGACUUAGAAAAAUAGGAAAAAGAACUCGACCUCAGUUUGCUGUGAAACAGACCAGCCUUUGGUUUUCCACCGAGAGGCAGAGCGCUAAUUAAUUCUAAAAAUGCUGACCUCUUUGGAAUUAUUUCAGUCCUUUUGAUGAAAACCAUGUGUAACGAUGGUGUGUGUUUUUAUUCUUCUGUAGGCCCCAAACUCGGAGUGUUUUGAGAAGCUUUCUCUGCCUCCCGAAACCCUCAAGACCUCAUUGUGAAGUGGAGUUUCAGGUUACUCUCCUCAGAACGGACAGAACAAAAAACUGCAUUGUGAGCAUGGCAGAGGCAGGGCUGAAUUUUAAGGGAUAAAGUGCUGAGGUGCAAGUAGCAGAGGCAAGAGGGCGGAAGAGUAAUGUACCCGGUUUGUAAAUAUGUCUAGAAGUGGCCAAAGCAUGGCAGAUGCAGCCAGAGAUCAGACCCAGAAAAUGGGGAAAAAGGAAAUGUGAAUGAGCUCAUGUGAGACUAUAAUGGGAUAGAGACAGUGAUGAUUUAGGGGCUACAGUUGAAUUUAGGUGUGUGUGUGUGUGUGUGUGUGUAAGAUCCAUGAUCAAGAAUUUACUGGCCCUCCAAGAGAGCACUGACUUAAAAUAUAAUUAGGUUUGAAUAAAGAGUGGCUUGUUUUAAGGACGAUUUAUAACUUCUGACUCAUACUGAUUCUUGGCAUUGAAAUGCUUUUCUGGGGGAAAAAAAAAUCCUAUUCAGAAUAGGAUAGAAAGAAUAAACAAUAGAGCCCCAGGAGUGAGUCCACACUCUCGCUGGCAGGGCUCCUGUGUGUCGAUCACAUUUCCUUAGUAACUGCACUUUCCUCAUAAGGAAUUAAAAACAAGAAGAAAGCCAAGGACUUCAGUGCGAAUAAAAGAUACUAAUCCCUUCUUUCUACACAACUGGUGGAUUUUCUUAACGCCAUAUAUAGAAUUUGUGAGCAGGAAACACCAACGACCAUCAAAAUGAACAAGUAGGGAAAACUGGUCUUGACUAGAUGGGAUAAAUUAUGAUUUCAUGCCUUCUGUGCCACCGUGGAUGCUUAAACACAGCAAUUCGUACAACCAGUUCUGACGAGUCAGGAAUUCAUCCACUUCUUGUCAGCACCAGACAAAGCCCAGACACUGUGAGCCCACGAAGUCUGUGACUAUCCAGAAUUUUUGAAGAGCAAGGAAUUCCAACACAGAAUGAGGUAAUGUUUGGUUUUCCCAGAAGUGUUUUUUGAAUAAGACGGGGAAAAUAUGGGCACAGAAAUUUAGUAAAGAUGCUACAACGUCAACAUCGAAGCCAAAACCACUUGGAACUCUAAACAUUCACUUACACUCUAGCCCGGGAGGAAACGUGGGUCCUUCAGAAGCGAGUUAGGAAGAUAAAUGACUUAAGGAAAUAAAAUUCAACUGAGAUUUUGGGAAAGAGCCAUAUUCAGCAAAGACUGCAAAAUGUUCCUAUUCGAUUGUAAAGAAAUGCUGUCGUAAUUUAAUUGAUAAAAUUCUCAAGGGUGGUAUUAAAAAGAGAAAGAACGUUUUGAGGAGGGAAUAAUCACUUUGGCAUUUUAACUGACCAGCUUGAAUAGAUAUCACCAGCAUUUAUCAUUUAUUCGGUAGAGUCAACGCCACUUGGAGGAAUGGCGUCUGAGCAUAUACUAUGAUAUAUACGGUAGACUCCACUUCACCGGGAGGACUGCAGCCAAGUCAUAUACUAUCGACAUGUGAUAGACUCUACAUCACCUGGAGGACUGGAGUCUGGGCAUCUACUGUCAUGUGUCCGGUAGACUCCACUUCACCUGAAGGAGUGGAGCCAGGCAUAUACUAUCAUAUAUACGGUAGACUCUAUCACCUUAGGACUGCAGACAGGGCAUAUACUCUCAUAUAUAAGGUAGAUUCCACAUCAGCAGGCAGACUCGAGCCAAGGCAUAUACUAUGAUAUAUAUAUAUAGUAGACUCCACUUCACCAGGAGGACUGGAGGCAAGGCAUAUACUACCAUAUAUACGGUAGACUACACUUCAAACGGAGGAGUGAAACCAAGGCAUAUACUCUCAUGCAUAUGGUAGACUCCACAUCGCAUGGAGGACUGGAGAUAGGGCAUAUAGAGUCAUACAAACGGUAGACUCCACAUCAGCAGGAGGACUAGAGCCAGG